UACGUAGGGUGCAAGCGUUAAUCGGAAUUACUGGGCGUAAAGCGUGCGCAGGCGGUUUGCUAAGACCGAUGUGAAAUCCCCGGGCUUAACCUGGGAACUGCAUUGGUGACUGGCAAGCUAGAGUGUGGCAGAGGGGGGUAGAAUUCCACGUGUAGCAGUGAAAUGCGUAGAGAUGUGGAGGAACACCGAUGGCGAAGGCAGCCCCCUGGGUUAACACUGACGCUCAGGCACGAAAGCGUGGGGAGCAAACAGG
rnacentral:rRNA from 1 species